rnacentral:rRNA from 1 species
UAGGGAAUAUUAGUAAUGGGCGAAAGCCUGAACUAGCAACGCCGCAUGUGCGAAGAAGGCCUUCGGGUUGUAAAGCACUUUUUGAGAGGAUGAGGAAGGACGGUACUCUCAGAAUAAGUCUCGGCUAACUACGUGCCAGCAGCCGCGGUAACACGUAGGAGGCGAACGUUAUCCGGAUUUACUGGGCGUAAAGCGCGUGUAGGUGGUUUGGUAAGUAGGGCGUGAAAGCUCCUGGCUCAACUGGGAGAGGCCGUUCUAAACUGCCGAACUAGAGGAUGGUAGAGGGAGGUGGAAUUCCGGGUGUAGCGGUGGAAUGCGCAGAUAUCCGGAGGAACACCAGUGGCGAAAGCGGCCUCCUGGACCACUCCUGACACUCAGACGCGAAAGCUGGGGUAGCAAACGG